ACAUGUAUGUAUAUCUUAUUAUUUUAUUUUUAGUAUUAAUAUAUAUUAUAUAUAAUCUGCCAUAUUAUUAUGAAUACAUAUAUAUUUCUUAUAUCUCACACAAGCGCAGGGUAGUUUCUGAAUAAGCGUUUGCUGAAUGAAAGAAAGAAUAGUUCCCACUGACCCCAGAGAAGCCCUUCCCCACAGUUGGGGACUCUUUCAGUCAGGUAAUUAGAGAUAAAGGCCAAGCGAUACAGCUGAAUGAUCGGCACUUCUCCACGCGGGCGGGGCCCUCUUCCCACCCUCACGGAACUAUUAGGAGGCUCUGCUAUGACUCUUGAGCCUGUGCAGAGGAGGCAUGGAAAGGCCUGGCGUGAGUCACUGUUAGAUCAACAUGACCUUGUUCUCUGAAGGGCUCGCAGUGGGGAAACCUAAAAAGGAAGAAAAUCUGUUGGCUGCCAGGGCUCCGGAGCAGAGUCAAGGGCUACAGCCCCUCACCAAGUUUUAGACUUAACACGGUUCCCGAGUGAUGCAAGCCCUCCUGCCUCUUCCCGCACUGCAAUAAUGGCAGGCCCUGGGAAGCAUUGAGAACGCUUUCCUUUAAGGAAAACUAUUCUAAGUGACCCAAGGACGUUUCAGCCUAAACCGUGACAAUCUCUACAAACUGCCCCCGGACCCGGGCGGCCUGGUCGGCCCUUGACAGGGCGGGCUUCUCUCCUGGGCGGCCCCUCCGCAGCAGGGUGCGUGCAAGACGGAAAAGACACCCCGUGCUCUCCACAAUAGGGGCAAUUGUUCUGAGCUGCCACAUUCCAUUAAAUGUUUACCUUUUUGUUUCACAAUCUCACAGGAAAUGAGGGGCCAAGGAUUUUUGACUCCCAUAUUCCCCUCUGGUCAAGACUAAAGGAGAUGAGUUGUUUUUCUAGUUGCUCAAAAAGGGACUGGUAACAAGCAGGAAAUUAGCACGUAGCUAAAGACGCUGGAUCACAACUUUUGGGUUUCAACCAAAUUCUCCAGCAAUUGCUUGAAAUGCGUCAUAGGAAUGGCGUAACAAUGAGCCUUGGUUAACCUUCUUCUACUCUCGGAUGUCCUUUGGGGACGUUUAGCAAGUGGGGCUGAGCAUCCUACCCAUCCUGCUCUUUGGUCUACUGAGAACCAUCAUGGAUCAAGACAACGCUGGGAGAGAGAGACGGGACAGGCUGCCGUACUUUAAAACUUCAGUGGCAUAGAAUUUCACGACAUUCCAUCCAAGACACCAUCCUGUAGACCAAGCCGUUCUCUGCACCGCCUGAGCUCCUUCCAUGGAGCUGAGCUCUCCCUGCCGUGCUCUCUUAUGCGCCCACCUCGGUCCUGGCCUUCUGCUCUCGGGUCCUACGGUUACUCCAUCUCUCAUCUGCCUCUUCUCAACCUGGUCCCCCUCAAGAUUGUGCCCACCAGCUGCCCAGCCCUCUCCACGACUUCCCCCACAAUAAGAUGAGCAAACAAUUCAAAGCCUCCUGGGCCCCACAACCCCUUCUGUUACCUUCCUGCUUUGCACCCCUUCUCCUCCCGAGCAAUCCACACAUCCUAACUUGGUAACUCCUCAUCCACUUUUUAAUAUUUUUAAAUCUCCCACCCCCCAAAAAGUCGGUGUACCUUCCUUCCCCUCCAACCCAAGCUUCCAUUCCAGACAAUUACUACAAAUGAGCUUUUAACCAACUUCCAAUGAUAGAAAAACAGAAUAUUCCUCUUAUUUAAAUUGUUUCAGUACAGGAAGAAGGAAAGAAAAAGAAGGAAAGGGACAAGAAAAGAAUUGAGGAAAAAACUGCCCAACUGGUUUAAUGAAAUUAAUAUAAGUGAUUCCCUGAAUCUGAAAACUGGAUGAGGACAUUAAAAGAAAAAAAAAAAAAAGGCAGGC